UCUCACUUGAAAAAGUCUUAUUGCUCUUCAGGGGCAAAAUUAUAAUUUUACCAAAACCCUGAUUUGAUAGUAUCAAAUGAUAGAACAAAAGAUUUGUGAUCCAAUGGUGAAAAUUUUAUUGAUUUUGGACUUGUAUUUUGAAAGAUAUGCAUGAUUGAAAAUCAUGAGUCGACCCAUGAGUCGACUCAUGGCACAUGAGAUGACUGGCACGCUGAAAUUUCUGGUCGGCACAGACUUGGCACACCCUGUGAGUCGACCCAUGAGUCGACCC
rnacentral:lncRNA from 1 species